rnacentral:rRNA from 1 species
GUCUCUUAGAAUAAAUUAAGAGUCUGACCUGCCCAGUGAUUUAUUUUUAACGGCCGCGGUACCCUGACCGUGCAAAGGUAGCAUAAUCAUUUGCCUUUUAAUUGAAGGCUAGUAUGAAUGGUUUGACGAAAGUAAAGCUGUCUCAUGCAUGCUUACUAGAAAUUAAUUUGAAGGUGCAAAAGCCUUCAUAACUUAGAAAGACGAGAAGACCCUGUUGAGCUUUAGUUUAACUGAGUGUAUUUUUAUAUUUAUAUAAUCUGCCUACUCAAGUACAACUUUAAUUGGGGCGAUUAAGGAACAUUCAAUAGCUUCCUACCAAAUAAGGUUAUAUAUACAUAUUACAUCGAUCCAGCAGUGUUGAUCAAUGGAUCUAGUUACCACAGGGAUAACAGCAUAAUUCUUUUUAAGAGCCCAUAUCGAAAAAAGAGAUUGUGACCUCGAUGUUGGACUAGGGUAACAAAAAGGUGUAGCCGCUUUUUUGCUUGGUCUGUUCGACCA